rnacentral:rRNA from 1 species
GGCAGCCGCCGCGGGAACACCGGCGGCCCGAGUGGUGAUCGUGAUUAUUGGGUCUAAAGGGUCCGUAGCCGGUUUGGUCAGUCCUCCGGGAAAUCUGAUAGCUCAACUAUUAGGCUUUCGGGGGAUACUGCCAGACUUGGAACCGGGAGAGGUAAGAGGUACUACAGGGGUAGGAGUGAAAUCUUGUAAUCCCUGUGGGACCACCUGUGGCGAAGGCGUCUUACCAGAACGGGUUCGACGGUGAGGGACGAAAGCUGGGGGCACGAACCGGAUUAGAUACCCGGGUAGUCCCAGCCGUAAACGAUGCUCGCUAGGUGUCAGGCAUGGCGCGACCGUGUCUGGUGCCGCAGGGAAGCCGUGAAGCGAGCCACCUGGGAAGUACGGCCGCAAGGCUGAAACUUAAAGGAAUUGGCGGGGGAGCACAACAAACGGGUGGAGCCUGCGGUUUAAUUGGACUCAACGCCGGACAACUCACCGGGGGCGACAGCAAUAUGUAGGCCAAGCUGAAGACUUUGCCCGAAUCGCUGAGAAGUGGUGCAUGG